CACUUUCCUAAUAUAUCUCAUAUCCCUGAUUCAGAUUCAAGACAGCACUCCAGCUCUCAGUUCACUGUGUAUAUGUGUAAGAGUGUGUGAAACAGUUUAUUCAUGUUUUGAUGCUGUUGGUGAGCCGCUUUAUGACCUUACGACAUUCAUAUUGAUGACGGGCACCAUGAUGCGGAGUAUGGACGCAAGGGAAACUGAGAUUGACCUGAGGGAUGCAGGGGAUGGAGAGGAUGAUGAGGGACAACAGACGUGGAAGACGCAGCUGGAAACAGUCCUGGAGGAAGAGGAAGAAGAAGAUGUGAUUUCUACACAGAGUGACACCAGGCCUCUGAUCAAUGAACGGGACCCAAGACAAAUAAAUGAGUGUCUUAAGGUUAGUUUUGAAGAUGUGAUAGCAGAGCCAGUCUCGGUGCGCAGUGGGGAUCGGGUGUGGAUCUGGAGUCACGCUCUUUUCGAGGUGUCCAAGGUCUGGUUUUAUCGUAUAAUCACUGCUCUGCUGGCUGUUCCAGUGUCCCUCCUCGCUGGGAUUCUCUUCGCCGUCCUGAGCUUUGUUCACAUCUGGUUCUUUAUGCCAUGUGUGCAGGUUGUCUUGAUUAACACUGGGUGGUUGCAAACUUUAUGGAGCAGUGUUUUAGACAUAAUCAUCCUACCCAUCUUCCAAAGCGUAGCCAAGUGCUGCAGUGGGAUUAGUGUCGUUCUCACGCGGGAAUGAUAGACAUGCGCGGGAAUCUGCUGAAUCAAUUCAAAUGGAUAUUCACAGUGAACUUUUGGGCAGAUGUCUGGCCAUCUGACUCCUGGUGCAUGUCAAGGGGGACCAUGCCCAAAUGUCAAGCGUGAUGAAUGUUAACUCGCUGCCAAAGACUGAGAGGAAGUGGAUAUUUGAAAAUGCAUGAUGUUUGCUUAUGUAUGAAUGUAAUUUGAAGGGAUAGUUCCACCAAAAAUGAUGUUGAAAACCCAUGUUUUUAUUUUCUUCAUCUGUGGAACACAAAUAUGGACUACUUUAACAGUGCUUUAUAUAUCACCUUUUAUGUUCUAAGAGAAAAAAAAACGUCUUACAGUUUUGCAGUGACAUGAGGGUGCCAUAAAAUGUCUGCAGCUGGUUGGGGUCAAGCUAUCCUGCCUUAUGGCAAUUGAUUAUGGUAAAAUUAUGUUGCUAUAACAUCUGUUGUGUGUUUUGAUGACCUGUUUUGCAUUGCAUUGAGGACACAUUGUGUGUUCUUUGAAGUAUUCUCCAAGCCCUUUCAUUUGUAAAAUAACUAGUCGUUCCUGACUAUCCAAUUGAAUGCCUCACUCUUCAUAUGCAUAUAUGAAGCCACCAAAAUGAUAGAAACAACUGAUUCAGUAAUAUAACGCCCUCUACUGUAAACGAUCAAUCUGCCAGUCCUUUUAACCUGAUUAUCUCUAUUCUAGCUAGUGUUGAGAUCAUGUCUCCAUGCCAUGUGCUUCCCAUCUUAAAGUGACAUUUAAAAAAAUAUGCAAAAUCUCUCAAGGUCUUAAAGUGACAGUUCACCAAAAAAAAUUAACUCUGUCAUCAUUUAAAUGAUUUUCAGAAUUUUCAUUUUUGGGAGAACUAUCCCUUUAACUCAGAUAAAAAAGACUCAGGGUACAGCAUCAUUGAUCUAUAAAUAAUGGCAAUCAUAUGGGUGUGUCUGUAACUUAGCAAAAGGAAACACAAACAUGGCUGGACUCAUCCUGUGAGAAUGUGUAGAUGCUAAAAACAGUCUGACAUACCAGUAUGUUUCAAUGGAUAACUAAAUGUUGCAUUUAACAAAAAGUAAGAAAGCAGAUUUUGCCACCAUGUACAGAACAUCAACCUUUAUUUUUAUAUAAGGAAUCCAUCAAUAGAAAAAAACAAAGAGAUAAGUGAAGGUUUUCAUUAAAGGGAGAUGCUUGAGAGUGACUGGAUGUACAAAUGGUCGAUGGACCAACUAAAAGCGCAAGUGCAUAGAAGUGUGUAACAUUUCACAGUCUGAUCCAGUACACGUAAAAACUUCUCAUUAUACAAAACUCAACCAUAAUUCACAUUUUUGUGAUCAAUUCUUAUAUGUUACCUUUAAUUAAAUAAAGAAAUGAAGUGGAAUGAAAUGUCUUAACAAAUCAUAUACACAAUGAAAAGUUGUUCCUCAUAAAUACAGAAAACACUUUUACACCUUUUGGCCCGGUGAGAUGGUUUUAAACUCAAAUUCCCAAUAUCGGUAUGUUUUACAUGGCAGUACUAGAAAACUAAAACAACUGUUCAGUCUAUACGAGAACUGAAAUAAAGGAAAACCGAUAAACAUGACUUCAGGGGAAGUCAGAAACCAUGUGUUGAAACUUGAACCAUAAAGGACUGACUGAAACAUGUGGAGGAAAGGGUGGUUUAUGCCACCUGAAUCAUGUGGCCCACUGUGUCCUCUUCAGACUGAUCCUGCUCAGAUUUCUGUGAGGAAAAAAGAAGAUAGAUAAAGAUGAUGAAAAUUGCAUCAAGACGACAUUCUUUGGGAGGGUGACUGGAGUUGAACUCUUACCUGUUUGAACCAUGAGAGUUUUCUGAUCAAUGUUUCUGAUAUAUAAAAUAUUAGUGAUUGACUCAACUUCAAUUUCAAACCAUCUAUGCGAUUUAAAUAUAUGACAUUUUAUAUUGAAGACUUAUAAUACAAAAAUUAAUAUUUAACCCUUGUGCUGUGCUGAAAAUCCUUCACCUAAUUUGGUGUUCCCAAAAGUGGUGGCUUUAAUAUCUUAUAAAACUCUCAUUAUACUUUAUUACCACCAAUAUGUUUUCUUUUAUUCAUUGAGUACUUUGACCAAUCAGUUUCAAAAACAACAAAAGGUUUAUUUGCAUAAAAAGGGCAUAUAUAUAUAUAUAUAUGUCAUUAAGUAACAAACAUGAAUACUAACAAAAGCCCACAUACAGCCUGCUGUAAUAAACAUAAAAUGGCAAAAGCAACAACAAAGCCACAGCUCUGGGCAAAGUGAGAAGAGCGUUAAAGGGCUGGUUAGUUAUGUUUUGAAGCUGGAAUGCAUAUUUGAGCAGGUUCUUUGCUGACCAUGCGCUGGUCCUGAACUGGUCCGACCAGCACAUGACCAACAUUAACCAGCAAAGAAUCAUCACAAACCAGUUCAAACCAGCAU